UAGAUUUUUGAAAAAUCCAGAUAAUUAUCCAGAUUUUACUUUCUCUCGAUAGAAAACAGUACUGCCAAGGUAUAAAACAACUUAUUAAAUGUCAUAUUCCAUUAAACGACAGCUGUAGUUGACAGAUAUACGACAAAAAAAUAAUAUUAUUUAAAUCAAUUAGGAAAAACAAACAACACAAAUCAAUGAUUCACGGGUGCAAUAUCUUCCGCCGACAAGAAAAUAUUUUAUAACAUUAGGUACAGCUCAAAGGAAUCGAUUUCCCAAAAUGUUAUCUAGUUGUUGGAUGGAUAGAGCUAGAGUCCCACAGGCAUACCAUAUAAGUGGCACCCAAUUUCGCACAAGAACAAUUUAGUUGCAGUUCCGAUGUGAAAAUUCUUAAUCCCGACCUAUCGGAAACUUUAAUCCAACAAUUUAUUCGAUUCAAAAUCGAAAAAAAAGAGACUCAGGAAGAAAACUUGGAGAAUUAUUAUGAAAUUGUUCCAAUAGCCAAAUUAAUAAAAUAAGUCCUAACGUAAGUGUUGAUGAUGAAUUGAAACCCAUAACCUACGGCGGAAGGUAAAAAAUUUACAAAUUGCAUUGAAGCGCAAAAACUCUUACCAGAGCUGCUAAUUGGUGCUGCAGUCGAUCUAUCAACGGCAAUCGCUCUCAUAAAUAAAUAGUGUGCCAAAUUACCCAGUGAUACAUUCACCAAACUAACUCCAUUAUCGAGAUAUGCAAAGACAAAGCGUUGUGGCAAAGAUAUUGCAUCAAUAUACACUUCAUUUGCCUAUAAAUUCGUUUUUAAAAUAUGACAUAAUGGGACUACCAGUGCCAACGAAAAUCCUUGCAAGACGAAUGGUUACCCGUUCAGGCAUGUCGAGAGUUGCAUAUGUAUGGAGAACUGGACAACACCUUGCACCCAAUUGGGAAAGAAGGAUUUAAAGUACUGCGCGUCUCAUUGGGAGGAAAAAAUUGACGACCAAGUUGUUAAAGAUAGCGAAGAACCACGACCUAGUACAACCAAACAUCAACAAUAUUAUUACUUUGUUUUGUUUAGAUAAAUUUAGCUUUUGUUUUUUUAUUUUUUUCCAAUAAAAAAUAAUAGCUGUGGUAAAU